UGAGCAAUCUGCCCUUGACCCUGGAAUAACAGCUGGAAACAGCUGCUAAUACCGGAUAUGACCUCCGAUGGCAUCAUCUGGAGGUGGAAAGCUCCGACGGUCAAGGAUGGGCUCGCGGCCUAUCAGCUUGUUGGUGAGGUAACGCUCACCAAGGCUUCGACGGGUAGCCGGCCUGAGAGGGCGACCGGCCACACUGGGACUGAGAUACGGCCCAGAUCCGUACGGG
rnacentral:rRNA from 1 species